GCCCAGAUGGCUCAGUCAGUAGAGCAUUAGACUUUUAAUCUGUGGGUCUAGUGUUCAAGUCCUUGUUCAGGCA
rnacentral:tRNA from 1 species